rnacentral:rRNA from 1 species
AUGAUCCCUCCGCCGCUUCCGCCAACGGAAACGGGAAGGCCCCCUCCAAGCCCGCCUCUCCCAACCACGUCGCGUAAGCGCCCGAACGCUUCCUCUUUUUUCUGCUGUUUCCACCUCGAUCCUGAUUCCUCCUUUUGGCCGGGUGUGGGUUUUGUCAGAGGGGAGAGGACGGUCAAGAAGCUGCGGCUGUCGAAGGCGCUGACGAUCCCAGAGGGGACGACGGUGUCAGAGGCGUGCCGGCGGAUGGCGGCCAGGCGGGUCGACGCCGUGCUGCUCACCGACGUCAACGGCCUCCUCUCCGGCAUUGUCACCGACAAGGACAUAGCCACAAGGGUUAUUGCCGAGGGGCUGCGGGUUGAGCAAACAAUCAUAUCCAAGAUCAUGACACGCAGCCCUCAUUAUGUCACAGCUGACACACUUGCUAUCGAGGCACUACAGAAAAUGGUCCAAGGGAAAUUUAGACACCUUCCUGUGGUUGAUAAUGGUGAGGUUACUGCCAUGCUGGACAUUGCAAAAUGCCUCUAUGAUGCAAUAUCAAGACUGGAGAAGGCAGCAGAACAAGGAAAUGCACUUGCAGCUGCUGUAGAAGGGGUUGAACGCCAAUUGGGUAGCAACUUCUCAGCUCCUUCCACUUUAAUAGAAACUAUAAGAGAACGGAUGUUUAAACCUUCUUUGUCAACCAUUAUCACGGAAAGCACAAAAGUAGCGAUUGUUUCUCCUUCAGAUCCUGUUUAUGUAGCAGCCCAAAAAAUGCGUGAACUACGCGUUAAUUCAGUGGUUAUAACUACCGGAAAUUUGCUGCAAGGGAUCUUUACCUCAAAGGAUGUGCUUAUGCGUGUUGUGGCACAAAAUAUUUCUCCCGAAUUAACUCUAGUAGAAAAGGUAAUGACUGCACACCCUGAUUGUGCUACAUUGGACACGUCAAUUCUGGACGCAUUACAUAUAAUGCAUGAUGGCAAAUUCUUGCAUAUUCCUGUUGUUGAUGGAGAUGGUAGAGUUGUUGCUUGUUUGGAUGUUCUGCAACUUACCCAGGCAGCCAUUUCUAUGGCUGAAGGAGGUUCUGGAGCUGCAAAUGAUGUAGCAAACACAAUGAUGCAGAAGUUCUGGGACUCUGCUCUUGCUUUGGAGCCAGAUGAGGAAUUUGAUAGCCAGAGGUUGGUUGAUGCAUCCUUUGUGAUUUUCUUUUUCCGCUCAAAUGUGAUGCUUACCUGCAUGAUUUCAUCGCUCAGUGAAAUAUCCUUAGUGAUGCCGUCAGAGGUCGGAGAUGGCAGGAGUAGCAUUUAUCCUGCUGUUGUUGGCAAUUCUUUUGCCUUCAAGCUUCAGGACAAGAAGGGACGUAUGCAUAGAUUUACAUGCGGUGGGUACACACUUCAUAGUUUGACGAGAGCUAGCUGUGGUGGCAGUGUACUGACUAACAACAUUUUGUGUUUCAUUGCUGCAGGUUCUGAGAGUUUAGACGAGCUUAUGUCUUCUAUAACACAAAGAUUAGGCGCUGGUGGUGAAAAGGGCCCAAUUCAACUUUUGUAUGACGAUGAUGAAGGCGAUAGGGUUCUGCUUACUACAGAUUCUGAUCUUGCUGGUGCUGUUCUCAAUGCCAAAUCAUCCGGAUUGAAGGUAUUUCCUUUCUCUGAGUUAGAACCCAUUUGCCUGCUUAAAAUGCCGCUAUUUUGCUAUUACUCUCAGCACAAGCAUCCGGAGAUUCCUUUACCACUUUGGCAUGGCCAGGUGUGUCAGUCAUUCGCUUGUCUCUAUGCCUCAUUGUAG